rnacentral:rRNA from 1 species
GACGGACGCUGGCGGCGUGCUUAAUACAUGCAAGUGGAGCGACGAACCAGGCUUCGGCCUGGGGCAGAGCCGCGAACGGGUGAGUAACACGUGGGUAACCUGCCUCGAUGACCGGGACAACCCGGGGAAACCCGGGCUAAUACCGGAUGUGCUGUCCCCACAUCAGUGGAGACAGGAAAGGAAGCUUCGGCCUCCGCAUCGAGAUGGGCCCGCGGCCCAUUAGCUUGUUGGUGUGGUAACGGCUCACCAAGGCUGCGAUGGGUAGCUGGUCUGAGAGGACGAUCAGCCACACUGGGACUGAGACACGGCCCAGACUCCUACGGGAGGCAGCAGUAGGGAAUCUUGCGCAAUGCGCGAAAGCGUGACGCAGCAACGCCGCGUGGGGG